rnacentral:rRNA from 1 species
UGAAGGAGCGACGCCGCGUGGAGGAUGACGGUCUUCGGAUUGUAAACUCCUGUCAUUGGUGAACAAGGUUUCCCGGUUAACUGCCGGGGAAAUUGCUAGUAGCCAAAGAGGAAGGGACGGCUAACUCUGUGCCAGCAGCCGCGGUAAUACAGAGGUCCCAAGCGUUGUUCGGAAUUAUUGGGCGUAAAGGGUGCGUAGGCGGCAGGGUAAGUUAGAUGUGAAAUACCGGGGCUUAACCUCGGAAUUGCAUUUAAGACUGCCUUGCUUGAGUUCUAGAGAGGAGACUGGAAUUUACGGUGUAGCAGUGAAAUGCGUAGAUAUCGUAAGGAAGACCAGUGGCGAAAGCGAGUCUCUGGCUAGAAACUGACGCUGAGGCACGAAAGCUGGGGGAGCAAACGGGAUUAGAUACCCCGGUAGUCCCAGCAGUAAACGGUGCGCGUUUGGUGUGAGCAGGUUCGACCCUGUUCGCGCCGGAGCUAACGCGUUAAACGCGCCGCCUGGGAAGUACGAUCGCAAGAUUA